AGCGAACGCUGGCGGCAGGCUUAACACAUGCAAGUCGAGCGGGCAUAGCAAUAUGUCAGCGGCAGACGGGUGAGUAACGCGUGGGAACGUACCUUUUGGUUCGGAACAACUGAGGGAAACUUCAGCUAAUACCGGAUAAGACCUUACGGGGAAAGAUUGAUCGCCGAAAGAUCGGCCCGCGGCUGAUUAGCUAGUUGGUGAGGUAAUGGCUCACCAAGGCGACGAUCAGUAGCCGGUCUGAGAGGAUGAUCAGCCACACUGGGACUGAGACACGGCCCAAACUCCUACGGGAGGGAGCAGUGGGGAAUAUUGGACAAUGGGCGCAAGCCUGAUCCAGCCAUGCCGCGUGAGUGAUGAAGGCCCUAGGGUUGUAAAGCUCUUUUGUGCGGGAAGAUAAUGACGGUACCGCAAGAAUAAGCCCCGGCUAACUUCGUGCCAGCAGCCGCCGUAA
rnacentral:rRNA from 1 species